rnacentral:rRNA from 1 species
UACGUAGGGUGCAAGCGUUGUCCGGAAUUAUUGGGCGUAAAGAGCUCGUAGGUGGUCUAUCACGUCGGAUGUGAAACCCUGAGGCUCAACCUCAGGCCUGCAUUCGAUACGGGCGGGCUAGAGUGCGGUAGGGGAGACUGGAAUUCCUGGUGUAGCGGUGAAAUGCGCAGAGAUCAGGAGGAACAUCGGUGGCGAAGGCGGGUCUCUGGGCCAUUACUGACACUGAGGAGCGAAAGCGUGGGGAGCAAACAGG